rnacentral:rRNA from 1 species
AUUGAACGCUGGCGGCAGGCUUAACACAUGCAAGUCGAGCGGUAGAAAGUAGCUUGCUACUUUUGAGAGCGGCGGACGGGUGAGUAAUGCGUGGGAAUCUACCUGGUAGUGGGGGACAACAGUUGGAAACGACUGCUAAUACCGCAUACGCCCUACGGGGGAAAGCGGGGGAUCUUCGGACCUCGUGCUAUCAGAUGAGCCCGCGUGAGAUUAGCUAGUUGGUGGGGUAAAGGCCUACCAAGGCGACGAUCUCUAGCUGGUCUGAGAGGAUGAUCAGCCACACUGGGACUGAGACACGGCCCAGACUCCUACGGGAGGCAGCAGUGGGGAAUAUUGGACAAUGGGCGCAAGCCUGAUCCAGCCAUGCCGCGUGUGUGAAGAAGGCCCUGGUUGUAAGACACUUCUGCGAGGAGGAAAGGUUAGUAGCGUUAAUACGACUGCAGCUGUG